GUAUGUAUGCAUUCAGAUGUUGCACCAAUCAGCUCAUUUGCAUACGCAAGUCGCUGUAGGAUCGACUACCUACAACUGGCUUGCGCGUCUGGGCGCACCGGGUCCAGUCUCCACGACUAGUACCCAGUAAAUGUCUGUUUCUGAUUUU